rnacentral:rRNA from 1 species
ACUACACCCCUAACUUCUAUAACCCCCACCCCACGGGACCCUGUAUAGUUGGUUUUAGGUUGGGGCAACCACGGAGCACAACANAGCCUCCACAAUGAAUGGGACCACCCCCCUUAUCUANGAGCCACACCCCUAGGAAUUAAAACAUUAAUAUAAAAUGAUCCAUUAUUUGAUCAAUGAACCAAGUUACCCUGGGGAUAACAGCGCAAUCCAUUUCAAGAGCCCCUAUCGACAAAUGGGUUUACGACCUCGAUGUUGGAUCAGGGUGUCCUGGUGGUGCAGCAGCUACUAAUGGUUCGUUUGUUCAACGAUUAAAACCCU